UGAAUACGAGACGCUACGGCGUCGAAGCAGUCUAUGUCAUACUUCCAAGAAAAGCUUGCACUGUCAUAAACAAAUAAUGCCUGUACCAUAACCGACACAGGUGGGUAGGUAGAGUAUACUAAGGGGCGCGAGAUAACUCUCUCUAAGGAACUCGGCAAAAUGACUCCGUAACUUCGGGAGAAGGAGUGCCUUAUUUAUAAGGUUGCAAUAACAAGAUCCAAGCAACUGUUUAUCAAAAACACAGGUCUCCGCUAAGUCGUAAGACGAUGUAUGGGGGCUGACGCCUGCCCAGUGCCAGAAGGUUAAAGAAGUUGGUUAGCAUUAGCGAAGCUGAUAACUGAAGCCCUGGUGAACGGCGGCCGUAACAAUAACGGUCCUAAGGUAGCGAAAUUCCUUGUCGGGUAAGUUCCGACCCGCACGAAAGGCGUAAUGAUUUGGAUACUGUCUCGGAGAGGGGCUCGGUGAAAUAGACUUGUCUGUGAAGAUGCGGACUACCUGCACCUGGACAGAAAGACCCUAUGAAGCUUUACUGUAACUUGAAAUUGAAAUUGGACUUUAUUUGCGCAGCAUAGGUGGGAGGCGUUGAAAAUAUUCUUGCGGGAAUAUCUGAGCCAUCAGUGAGAUACCACUCUUGUAAUGUUAGAUUUCUAACUUUGUAUCAUUAUCUGGUCAAAGAACAGUUUCAGGCGGGCAGUUUGACUGGGGCGGUCGCCUCCUAAACGGUAACGGAGGCGCACAAAGGUUUCCUCUGAACGGGUAGAAAUCGUAUCUAGAGUGUAAAGGCAUAAGGAAGCUUGACUGUGAGACCUACAAGUCGAGCAGGGACGAAAGUCGGUCUUAGUGAUCUGACGGUGCUGAGUGGAAAGGCCGUCACUCAACGGAUAAAAGUUACUCUAAGGAUAACAGGCUGAUCUCCCCCAAGAGUUCACAUCGACGGGGAGGUUUGGCACCUCGAUGUCGGCUCAUCGCAUCCUGGGGCGGUAGUACGUCCCAAGGGUUGGGCUGUUCGCCCAUGAAAGCGGUACGCGAGCUGGGUUCAGAACGUCGUGAGACAGUUCGGUCCAUAUCCGGUGUAGGCGUUAGAAUAUUGAGAGGAGCCUUCUUUAGUACGAGAGGACCGAGAAGGACAUACCUCUGGUGUACCAGUUAUCGUGCCAACGGUAAACGCUGGGUAGCUAUGUAUGGAGAGGAUAACCGCUGAAAGCAUCUAGGUGGGAAGCCCACCUCAAGAUAAG
rnacentral:rRNA from 1 species